rnacentral:rRNA from 1 species
AGAGUUUGAUCCUGGCUCAGAACGAACGCUGGCGGCAGGCCUCAAACAUGCAAGUCUAGCGGGCGUAGCAAUACGUCAGCGGCGGACGGGUGCGUAACACGUGGGAACGUACCCUUUGGUUCGGAACAACGCAGGGAAACUUGCGCUAAUACCGGAUGUGCCCGAAAGGGGAAAGAUUUAUCGCCAAAGGAUCGGCCCGCGUUCGAUUAGCUUGUUGGUGAGGUAAUGGCUCACCAAGGCGACGAUCGAUAGCUGGUCUGAGAGGACGAUCAGCCACACUGGGACUGAGACACGGCCCAGACUCCUACGGGAGGCAGCAGUUGGGAAUCUUGGACAAUGGAGGAAACUCUGAUCCAGCCAUGCCGCGUGAGUGAUGAAGGCCUUCGGGUUGUAAAACUCUUUCGACGGGGACGAUAAUGACGGUACCCGUAGAAGAAGCUCCGGCUAACUUCGUGCCAGCAGCCGCGGUAAUACGAAGGGGGCUAGCGUUGUUCGGAAUUACUGGGCGUAAAGCGCGCGCAGGCGGCCAAUCAAGUCAGGGGUGAAAGCCCGGAGCUCAACUCCGGAAUUGCCUUUGAAACUGAUCGGCUUGAGUACGGGAGAGGUGAGUGGAAUUCCCAGUGUAGAGGUGAAAUUCGUAGAUAUUCGCAAGAACACCAGUGGCGAAGGCGGCUCACUGGCCCGAUACUGACGCUGAGGCACGAAAGCGUGGGGAGCAAACAGGAUUAGAUACCCCCGUAGUCC